UGGAGGAUGGUCGUAUCUCUCGGCUCAGCUUAGGGUCUUGGACGUCGCGUUUUCUGAUGAACUUUGCUUGUAAAAUUUGUCGAAUUUCUCACUAUUCCAGUCAUGUGCAUUCAGAUAUUUUCGUCAAAACUGUUGCACGUUUAAAAUGGUGAUACUUUUUAAGGCUUGGCCAGGAUUUUUAGUAUAAAUUUUGGCCUUCAAGUUCAACAACAGGAAUUGUGAACCUUGUGCAUUUUUGUUUGUCACGUGGUCUGAAAUUUGUGACUAAAAACUGCAGUGUUCAACAUGUGACAAUUCACUGUUCAGCCCUUCAAUAAAUCGUGAAUUCCACGCGAUUGUCUAGUUCUGACUACAGACUUUUCAAACAAAAUAAACUUUACGGUGUUCUCAGUUUCAUGAAGAGAGCUCGUAAAUUCGCUGAAGCCUCGUGUAAAAUUUAAAGACCGACGCUGAACACAUCGAGGCAAUUCGACAUUUCGUUCAGUAUAGCAUUGACUGAGACGAGGAAUGAGUGAGGGCGAGGCAGCUGUAAGACAGAGGGGAACAACUUGAGGGGGACCCAGCAGGCAGCAGCCAGCAGCGAGCUCCCAUCCAGCCAAGCUUCUCAAGAGGCACUGUGGCACUGUUUCAUGAUAGUUUGCAGAAAGAGGUGCUCCUAUCUUUGUGCCAGAUGGGACUUGAAGAUCUAUGGAUGUGUGGUUUGUGGACGUAUGUUGGAGUCGUCGCCGGAGUCAUCGCCGGAUUCAGGUAAGGAAAACUUGGCACCAUCCGACCUCCACUUUUUAAGUUCACUUUUGAACCUAAAUGCUGCCCUUUGUCCUUCUAAAAGCCUUAAUUGCUUUUUAUCUCUCAAAUGGCAGCAAACAUAAUCUAGGAAGAAUUAUGAAGACGCAUUGCAAUUUUUUUUAGUUUUCAAUGUUUAAGUUGAUAGACUUUUUCAUUGGAAAACAAAAUUUGAUGUGUUUAUACACAUGAUUGAUAAAUAAUUGCAUUGAAUUGAAUGCACAUAGAAAUUCUCUUGUGGGUUUUGAUGGUUCUCAAAAGAAAAGAAAGUUCUCUACUGGUUAAGCGCAAUAGUGGAGGUCGGAUAACGCAAGUUGUCCUAAAUCAAGAUCAAGACAAGACGAAGACUCCGAAGUGUAAGAGGAUCUAACCCGUUCUCUUGCAGAGUCCCACCCCUCGUACCGCCCCUUCCCCAAUGUUCGUUGAUGUUGUCCUUAAAUACUUGUGCAGCUUUCAAGGUGACUUCAUAGUUUCUUGGCAUUUCUUAAUUUGCAUAUUGGUCGAAGCCAGUGAUGCUUUUAAUUAGGAGACUAGUCUUACUGGAAAUUUCUGUGAGGGUUGAAACUUCAAGUCAUCAGUUGUCAUGUUUAUUUACAAGUGUCAUGAUUUAAAAUUCCAAACACUGUUCAAAUAAAGUGGGUACAAAUCCAACUAAAACCUUAUUUCAGUAAUUUCAAUAAGUAUUAGUAAAAAGUAAUUUUCUUCAAAAAAAUAAAGCUAUUUUUCUUCAUCAACUUAAAAAGCAAAUCAUGCACUUUAGUCCUCUUUACUACAAAGUGUAUUGUGUGUUGGGCAUAAAACUUUAACCCAUCACAUCAUCAAAAUUGAUCAGUUAUUUAGAAGUUAUCAUCAUAAAGUCCAAUAUUAUUCCAGACCAAUGUUGUUUCAGUCCAAUUUUAUUUCAGUCCAAUCCCCAUUGAUUUGAUGAUAAUGUUUGAUUUAGGAGGAGUAAAUAGAUCCUUUAGAACAGCUAAAUGAAUAUUUACAAUUCCUGAUGUGCAUUUCAUUAUUCUCAAUGAAAGGAAUCUAAAAAGGUUGUUAAACUAAAAAAAUUAAUAUAAUAAAAAAAUAAAAUUAAAAAAACAUAGCUCAAUGGAUGGUUAAUGUCUGAUUUAGGAAGAGUAAGUAAUAUCACUUAGACCAGCUAAAUGAAAUACUUACAUAUUCCUAAUAUCAGCAUGACAUCAGUCCUAAAAUGUUGACAUAUUCAACUAAAAUACAAAAAGAAGAUAAAAUACUAAAUAAAAUAGCUGUAAUACUCUGAAUCAUUUAGAUCAAAGUUCAUCAAACAAAAGAAUUGGGAGACAAACUUAUAGCAAACACAAGCUUUUACAAAGCUAUAGUUACUGAGGCGCAGCUCGCAUGGGUCAUUGCAAUUAACUAAAAUGCUUAUUUCUGAGCGCUGCUACCCAGCAGGACAAAGCGAAUACGAAAAAAGUACAAAAUAAAAAACCCUGAAGCUGGUGACAGUCAAGAACAGGAUGAAAAGAAGACAUGAUUGUGCAGGGGGGAAACCCGUCAGUAGUGCAUCCAUUCCGGGUGAGUAUAAACAAAAUGGUGAGGCAGUAUGCUAAGAACACCAAUAGUGUUGGCCUAGAGAUAAUACUAACUCCCUAAUUUAGAACACCAAUAGUGUUGGCCUAGAAAUAAGACUAACUUCAUAAUUUCUCAACAGGAGGUAAGGUAUAAAGUGUGAUGACUAGCGUAGUACUUAGUCUUGUUUCAAGAUGCUCAAUCUCAUUUCUUAUUUUGCGGUGACACAAUACAUACAAGGACAGUAAAAACAAGAUCCUAUAAACAAAUAAAAGAUAAUUUCUUGAACCAAAUCUAAGAACUACGCUGUCAUCAGUAAACACAGAGCUUGAGUAGAAGACGAAGACUCCCCCUGUGAUGGCCCUGAGUGACUGGAGAUCAGUGAGGUCGGCAGUUUGGAGCAAAGAAUGGAUUAGAGCAAAGUAUCAGGUAUAAGUAUUGGGUAAAGGCAUAUAGAGCAAGGACAGAGUCUGUCCUUACUCUAUGGAAAGUGUGAAUGAAUAUUAACAACUCUUUCCUCCAAAGCCUUCAUUUUUUUCUGCACAGAUUCUGUGGAGAAAAAAAGUUAUUUCCUCAGAUGUGGGAUCUACGACUAAUUUCCUACUAAGACUAACUGAUACAUUUCUUUUGUUUUCCACAGCCUGUUGCCAAGUUAAUGGAUGUUGUGGCAAGCAUUUGUUAACAGAUGUCAGCUCUGGGACACCGUAGAUAACAUCGGUUUGGUAAAGUAUUGGGAUUUCCUCAGGUAAUGUGUUGGGUGAACUUGAUUUUGCCUUAUAUUAAUAAGCCAAAAUCAAGUAAUUAAAAUGUGACCCCAAAAAGGGUAAUCUUCUAGAAGAAAAUGGUCAAUUCCAAAGAUUAGAUCUGGUUUCCGUCUUGAAGAUGAUGAAGUAGUAUGUGUGCUGAGGCUUUCACUGAGCUGAGAACAUGCACCCAGCAGGAACUGGAUUCAUGCAGAGGAUUUGGUAAUGUAUCGGGUUAUAAAGUUACCAGCUACUGAUAAUGAGGAAACUUCAUUUUUAAUGGCACUCGAUUAAAAAAUUUUGAUCGCAAACAAAUCUACAUCAGUUUAUUGAUUGAUUAGGGCCUACUUUAGAACGAAAAUCGAAAAAUGCAAAAGGAAAACAGAAAUCACAUUUUGAACCUCCUUAUUUAUAGUAUUUUUAACCAGCAGUCAAAAUACUAUGGUGUCAUUUGAGGUUAUACAACAGAAAGCAUGAACCACCAGCUAAUUGUCAAGGUAGAGCAACUGAUGCAUCAGUUGCUUUAUACCUUGGCGAUUUUAUGGAUUUGUCAAACACCAAAAGAAUAUUGGGUCCAUCAUGAUGGACCCCGUAACCUUUUGGUGUUUGACAAAUCCAUAAAAUUUGAAAUCAUUUUUACAAUCGUAAAUAUUUGUAAAUAUAUUUUCCCCAGUUAUGAUCCAUCUCUUGUGUAAUGGUGACUACAACCUGGACCUGUUUGAAUGGGCAUCGCUGGAGCCGGAUCGGGGAGUGGCAACUACAACAUUUCUGGACCCGUUUGGAUGAGCAGCGCUGGCGGAUACAGGUGCAAAGAGUCAGCAACAGACUCCCCAAGACCUUGUGGCAGAUUGUGAAGAUGACAUUGGAGAUAUACCCAAAGACUACACUCGGUAUGCUGUGCUGUGGACUGUGUAUACCACCAGCUGAGGGAAGGACUGUCAAGCUAGAUGGUGCUCUGCUGCAAGUUCAACCGUUCAAUGUAGCGGUGUUGAGGCAAACCAACACUUUUUGGACUGGUGUAAAGAGUCAACGACAGACCACUUGAUAGAGUUGAUGGCCUUGGAGAUGACAAACACCCAACAUUGAGGCUAAUUAACACUUUUUGGACUGAGUGCCACCAGCUGAAGGACUGAGCCAGUUCAAGCUCGAUGACUCUCUACUACAAGUUCUACUGUUCAAAUGACAUUAGGAGUGUUGUGAAUGUGAGGUAACCACCACUUUUUGGACUGAGCAGCUGAAGAUCUGAGAUGAUGAUUUGGAGAUUUCAUACACCCAAUUCUUUGAGGCAUAUCAACACUUUUUGGACUGAUUGCAACCAGCUGAAGGACUGCCAGUUCAAGCUCGAUGAGACUUUUUUUACAAGUUAAACAACCAUUCAAGUGACAUUAGGAGUGUUGUGAGGAUACAACCACCACUUUUUGGACUGAACAGCUGAAUAUCUACCCCAAAGUUCAAGUGACAUUAUGGAUAAUGUAUAACUCUUUCUCGAGCCAACUCUCCAAGUGUUUUACAAGUUACUUCUUAUUUUCACACCAAGCAAAGCUCCACUGCUUUUUGGACUGUCAUCAACUGAAGAAAAACUGUCAAGUUUACAGCCAGAUAAUCCCUAUAUGUUCAAACUGAAACAAACUGGACAAUGAUGGGGCCUUACUGUAUGAUGUGGAAACUCCGGAGGAGCCCAAUUUCAUAGAGCUGCAUAAGCAUAAAAAGUUGCUAAGCACGACAAAAUUAUGCUUACCAUAGUA